UCAAAAACUACGUGGUAAGGAAGGUCGA
rnacentral:sRNA from 1 species